rnacentral:rRNA from 1 species
UACGUAGGGGGCUAGCGUUGUCCGGAAUCAUUGGGCGUAAAGCGCGCGUAGGCGGCCCGAUAAGUCUGCUGUGAAAGCCCAGGGCUCAACCCUGGAAUGCCGGUGGAUACUGUCGGGCUAGAGUUCGGAAGAGGCAAGUGGAAUUCCUGGUGUAGCGGUGGAAUGCGCAGAUAUCAGGAGGAACACCUAUAGCGAAGGCAGCUUGCUGGGACGACACUGACGCUGAGGCGCGAAAGCGUGGGGAGCGAACAGG